rnacentral:rRNA from 1 species
GGAAAACGGACAGAGCUCGUGAAUCCGGACGGCGGAAUUCAGAAUAAACGUGUAAAAAGCGUUUGUUUAAUAUUUCCGUCGUCGUUGGACGUCGCGACCCGUUUGGUGUCGGUCGAGGUGCCGCGUGUGCAAGUUUGUCGCCGCGUUGCUUUCGGGUGGCGCGGCGGCGAGGCUGCGGUUUUUUACCGGCCGACUCGCCAGACGGUACGCUACUGGUGAUCCUCGUGGCCUAAGCGUCGCGAGCGAUACCGGUCUGCGAMRAWUUUUC